rnacentral:rRNA from 1 species
AGCAGCCGCCGGGAAUACGAAGGGGGCUAGCGUUGCUCGGAAUCACUGGGCGUAAAGGGUGCGUAGGCGGGUCUUUAAGUCAGGGGUGAAAUCCUGGAGCUCAACUCCAGAACUGCCUUUGAUACUGAAGAUCUUGAGUUCGGGAGAGGUGAGUGGAACUGCGAGUGUAGAGGUGAAAUUCGUAGAUAUUCGCAAGAACACCAGUGGCGAAGGCGGCUCACUGGCCCGAUACUGACGCUGAGGCACGAAAGCGUGGGGAGCAAACAGGAUUAGAUACCCCAGUAGUCCCUGUCUCUUAUACAC